UCCUCCUUAGCUCAGUUGGUAGAGCGCGUCACUUGUAAUGACGAGGUCAGUUGUUCAAGUCGGCUAGGGGGAA